GGUUGAGUAAUAAUUUUUUGCAAAGAGCCAAAUGAGAAACAGAAAAUAUUGUGGAGGGCCAAAAGGUUAAACUCAAGUGUGCAAUAAUAAUUUUAUUCCUAUAUAAAAUGCUAGUAAAUAGCAUUGUUUUGACUAACUGUGAUGUUCUU